GUCGCGGUGGAGAUAGGGCGCGGCCACGGUGAGAUCCAGAAGCUCAAGGUUUGGGAUGGCUAGGGCUCGGUCUCGCUAAUUAGAUGCAAAGACGGAGCCGCGGGGUGAGGAAGAAGCUUUAUAGGGGUACGGGGAAGGCAUAUCCCGCCCAAAGCGGGAUCGGGGGGAAUUUCCUUCGGCUGCCAGAAACCGACUCGACUACGGCAAGGGAGGAAGAAACGGCGCCUGCUGACAUGCGGGGCCCGAGCGUCAGAGAGAGAGAGAGGCGGGCCCACUGAUAGUGGCAGCAAGCAGGGAGGGGAGGGCGCGCUGCGGCCUGGGCUGAGCGCGUGCGGGGUCGGGGAAAGGAACUGGGCCGCGCAAGGGGUGAGGGGGGGUUUGGCUGGGGUUUUCUUUUCUUUUUUUCUUUUCUGUUUUCUUUUCCAAAAAAACCUUUUCCAAAUAAAAAUCUUGAAUGCAAAUAAAUUCAAGCCAGAGGCAAACAAUACAAAAUAACAUAUCCUUCAUCAUGAAUGCAUAAACAAGUUCCUAAACUUAGGAUAAAUUUUAAUUUUGACCAAAAAUAUUUUAUUUACUAGAUUAAAUGCCCACAAAAAUUGCUUAAAUAAUUCUCAUUAAAUCCUAUUAAUUCAAAAGCAAAUUUUUGGGUGUUACAAAUUCUACCCCCUUAAAAGAAUCUCGUCCUCGAGAUUGAGCAGUGCAUAAACAAACAGUUGUGGAUAUGAUUCUCUCCAAUCAUCCUCUCUUCCCCAAGUUGCUUCUGCCUCUAAAAACCGAUUCCAUUGCACUAGCAAACUCAUGUCUCUAGUCAAGUAACAUACCUGGUAACUUAUCUGAAAAUUUAUUCCCUACACAGUCCUGAAGAUCAACACCAUCAUCCAGCUGAUUCACUAUAGCUGUGGGUGGAUCCUGCACUGCUACAUCCACACUAAUUCUCUCUCCCUUGGGUGUUGUCACAACUACUACUUUCUCUUUGCACUUAAUUUCCGUAGCAUAUUUCUUCAUCCAAUCCAAACCCAAUAUCACAUCUAUGCCUGAAGUUCUCAUAACCAUGGGACUAACUGGGAAAUCUACCCCCCUUAAAGAGAGACUUGCUGAGGGGCAACAAUAUGAAACUAGUAUAGUCCCUCCCGGUGAGUUUACUAGCAUAUGAGUUUUCAUGACAACUAGUGGAAUGCUAUGAACUCUAACAAAUGCGUGUGAUAUGAAUGUAUGCGAAGCUCCAGAAUCAAAUAAAACUGUAGCGGGAAUAGAGUUGAUACUGAACGUACCCAUCAUGAUUUCUGGUCCUUCCUGUACUGUCUCUGCAGCCACAUGGUUCACAUUUGCUCCAUGAGAAUUAGACUUUUGAUUGUUGUUCUGCUGGUUGAACCUCUCCGGACAAUCAUAUGACAUAUGACCUUCUUUUCCACAGCGAAAACACCUAGUAGGGGUAUUGGGAGCACUUCUCUUCAUAGAGGUGGCAUUUGAAUUUCCUGAGCGGGGAAUCUGCUGACCACUCUGCUGUUGAUUAGGAUUACGCUGAGGUUGUUGGUUGCGAUCCCAUUGACCAACCGGUCCCUGGUACCUCUGUUGAUCGCCCUGCUGAGAAUUGAAACGUUGGCGGUUGUUGCCUCCAGAACUUUGUGCUAGCAUCCUCCUCUUCUUGUCCUGACCUUUGCACAUGUUAUCCAAUACAAUAGCACGAUUCACCAGAGCUUGGAAGGUAGGAUAAGUAUUUCCAGCCAACUGCAACCUAAGUUCAUAGUAAAGACCUUUCAUGAAGAUACGUUGCUUAUCCGCAUCUUCUCUGACUUCAUUUGGGGCAUAGCGAGCCAACUGCUCAAACAUGUCAUAAUACUCAGCCACAGACAUAGAACCCAUCCUGAGAGAUCUGAAUUCUUCCUGCUUGAGCUCCAUCAUUCCCUCAUUGAUGUGUCGUGCUCGGAAAUCUCUGUAAAAUUCCAUCCAAGUGACAGGAGGAGCAUUGUUGGGACGAGCAGCUUGAUACGACUCCCACCAUGUCUGAGCUGCACCUUGAAGUUGUCCAGAAGCAUACAACACUUUUUCCAUAUCAUUGCACUGGGCUAUGUUCAGUUGUCUCUCUACAGCACGAAGCCAAUCAUCUGCCUCCAUAGGAUCAGCUGAGUGUGUAAACACCAGAGGUCUUCCCUUCAUAAAUUCGCCACGCUUAUCUCUCACGUGAACAGGUGGCGGCGGUGGUGGAGGUUGCUGUUGUAGGUGCUGCAUGAAAACGUGCAUCAUCUCAUUCUGAGUCUGCAUGAGCUCUUCCACGGUAAUUAGAUCACUGGCACCCAUGCCACAGCCUCUGCCUCUGCCUCUUCCCCUUGCUGCCAUCUGCAUUCCAAGGUAUAGAAACAUGUCUUAGUAAUGUCCAACAUGACAAUUACAAGAGGUAACAGAAUCUGAAAUUUUCUGGGUAACAUCCAACAUCAGUAGAUCAGAAAAUCUGUAAUAUCUCGAGUUCUAGAAUUCAAAAGGAUACAUGCUGUACACCGUUGGAAAGAUAAAGAAGUUAUCUACAACUUUUAUUCAGAUCAUAUUAACAGAUUCUGUCGUUGAAUUAGUCAAAACUGGUCAUAACCAAAACUGUUCUAGAAUUCCAGACUGCACAGAAACCUCAACUUUGAACAGCCAUAACUCACAGCUCAUAACAGAUAAUAAUAUCAUUCUUGCGGCAUUGGAAAGACAUGAAAGUCCACUUGUUCUCAGAAAAAUUUGACGAGCAUUGCACGAACAGAUUUUGAGAGGUACCAGAUUCAUUGUAGACUGCUCCCGAAAACAGCAAAGGACAGAAACAGAAUUUUAACCAAACCCAAUUAUUUAGUUCAUUAAUCCUUAUGCCUUAGGCCUAUAGACUAAAUGAAAUUAUAGAGAAAAUCCACAAGAUCAUUACACUCAUUACAAAGAUCCAUAUCAAGCAUAAGCAUAAUAACAAACCAAACCAAGCAUCAAAGGUUCACACUUCAAGCAUUAACUCAACUUGCGGUACUAUCGUUCUCUUCCUAUUAUGGGAAAAGAUCCUAUAACUACUAUUUCAAAGACGCCAGAAAGUGGUAAGAAGAGGUUCUAAAAGCAUUUGAAGCAAGGAGUAGGGAUGAGAACAAGUCUUUAAAAUAAGCAACAAGGUGAAGAUGAAUAGCAAUGGAAAGGAUAUAGUAUAAGAGAAAAUAUCAAGGUUUAUAGAACAAGAAUUUUAUAACAAUUUCAAACCCUUAAGACGGCCAAUUUCUAACUAGGCUUGCGUCCGACAGUCAACAAAGCUUUGAUACCAAUUUGUCACACCCAUAUUUUGAGAACAAAAUAGGAUGCAUAAAAGACUCAUAUGUGCCCCAGAAACAGUCGCACACAUAAGUAGACAAAUGUCAAAUGUACCAUUGCAGUGUUUAUUACAUAGCGGAACAGUAAUAAAUCACAUAGUCUCAUACAAAUAUGAUAUCAUAAAGUAAACAACGCUCUCGAUGGAAGCUCCACACAGGGACACUGUUGACUGGUUGACUUCAAACCUAGUACUCAUGGCGAUAAUCCUCAUUCCAAUCAUCAUCAUUAGCAUAACCUAGGGUGUUGGGAAAUUGCAAGAGUGAGCACAUAUCGUACUCAACAAGUAUGACCAGGGGUUCAUGAGGCUCAAAUAGCUGACACUGGUUUGACUGCAUUUAGCUUUUAAUGGUGGAUAGCAUGCUCAUUAAUUAAUAGCAAAUGUCAAGGUAAUAGAAAUAAUCCAUUAAUCACAUGAUCAAGUGUAAGCAUAAUUAAUUCAUAGCAUAAACGAUAAUCGAAUGAACAUAACAACUUAACAAGCUCAUCGUCGUCGCAGCAAGAACCCCCAAGGCCGCUCAUAACCGUGAGCACGGCUAGUAUACCAGUUUUAACACUCUGCAGAGGUUGUACAUAUUUACCCAUGAGUCAUGAAUUACCCUUUCGCCCGAGGUAGCUAAUCUCUUAACCUCCUUCCUAGGGAGGUUGGCAGGGAUCACUAUAAAGCCUUUUAAAAGUUCGUCUAACAUGUUAGGGCCGUAAGGUUUCCUUUGCACACAGAUAUAGAUACCUCCCUUCCGAAUGGCAUAAUGACGCGCAGCCUAUACACAUAGGGACAGGGACUCGCACUAUACCCAAAACGGUUCAGCCCCUCCGCCCUUUCGGGUAACCUCUAACAAGCUAGAAAAGGUCUUCAUACUGAGCUAAAGCCAGAGCCAUUAUAGCCCUCAUGGUUGCACUGUUGUCCCGGUGAUCACUUACAGACAAGAUCUCAUAUAGUUAUUUGCCAUCAUUUAACGUUCAUUGCAUAGCUAUUAAUCAUCUUACAAGAUCAUGGAUUAUAUCAAGCACUAGCACAUCUACACCAAAUGCAUAUCAAGUAGAUAGCAAGGAAUCCAGGUAACAAUCAUCUAUGAUUUCGCUAAGGUCGACAAGGUGAUAGCAUGCAUAUGAUAUAUAUGUGUAGUUAUAAGUGAAUAGGUAACAAGGAUGAUCCCAAGUUAUACUUGCCUUGAUCAAAGCUCUCCUGAGCCUGCUUCUGGUCUUCAAAAGAUUGACCUUGAUCACCAACGUAUCGCUCACCGUCUAUACCUGAUCAUCAAUCAACAACACGCAAUCCAAUGUAAACAAUCAUACACGAACCAAACAAGCUAUAAUUAGAACAAUACACCAAACAGUGGUAAAACAAAUAUAAAAAUUUAUCAAAACAUCCCACGCAGCGCUACGAUCACACAAACGUAGAGUUCACAAAAAUCGGAAUUAAAACGUAGAAGAUAUGAAUUUUCUAAGAUUUCCUAUAGAGAAAUAAUUAAUUAAAGGCUACUGCAGAAUUAAAAAGUUUCAAAACAGUAAACUAAUACUUCUAACAUGUAGAGCUUGUAAAUAUGAAUCUAACGAAAUUUGAAUGGACAAAAACGGACUUAAAACGAAUAUUUUAUAAGCAAUUUAAUUUCAGUGGCAAUUCUGUAAUUAUUGGAAAGCGCAUUUUGCUCAAACCGGCCAGGUUUACGUUUUCGGAAUUGGAAUACAGGUUUCUGCUCAGGGCGCCAGGGACCGUGGAGUAAUUAGUAAAAUACUUCAAGGACUCUUUAUGAAGAUUCACUGCGAAAAGGUAUCUUCUAAUCCUAUCCGUUAGUCUUCGAUCGAACGGUCCUGAUCCAGCAGGGGGGCGCACGCGGCCUACCGGCCGGCUCACCACUCCGGCGCGGUGGUGCGCCAUGGGUGCCGCCGUGAGGCUCGUCGGCGUCCUCGGUUCUCUCGCUCCCGUGCACCAAAACUCAAGCCAAGCGCAUGGGGAUAAAGAGGAGAGAGAGGCGAGCUCACCCAGGGGUCUCUCUCGGGCCGCGAACAAGCUGAGAGAUCGGGUCGCGGUGGAGAUAGGGCGCGGCCACGGUGAGAUCCAGAAGCUCAAGGUUUGGGAUGGCUAGGGCUCGGUCUCACUAAUUAGAUGCAAAGAGGGAGGCGCGGGGUGAGGAAGAAGCUUUAUAGGGGUAGGGGGAAGGCAUGUCCCGCCCAAAGCGGGAUCGGGGGGAAUUUCCUUCGGCUGCCAGAGACUGACUCGACUACGGCAAGGGAGGAAGAAACGGUGCCUGCUGACAUGCGGGGCCCGAGCGUCAGAGAGAGAGGGGCGGGGCCCGGCUGUUAGUGGCACCAAGCAGGGAGGAGAGGGCGCGCUGCGGCCUGGGCUGAGCGCGUGCGGGGCCGGGGAAAGGAGGGUUCGGCGGGGGUUUUCUUUUCUUUUUUUUUCUUUUCUGUUUUCUUUUCCAAAAAAAACCUUUUCCAAAUAAAAAUCUUGAAUGCAAAUAAAUUCAAGCCAGAGGCAAACAAUACAAAAUAACAUAUCCUUCAGCGUGAAUGCAUAAACAUGUUCCUAAACUUUGGAUAAAUUUUAAUUUUGACCAAAAAUAUUUUAUUUACUAGAUUAAAUGCCCACAAAAAUUUCUUAAAUAAUUCUCAUUAAAUCCUAUUAAUUCAAAAGCAAAUUUUUGGGUGUUACAAAUCUCCUUGCGUGCUUCGACGGAGUCACAAGCCACCAAGCA
rnacentral:lncRNA from 1 species